UGUACCUACUACGUCCCUUCUCCAGGUC
rnacentral:piRNA from 1 species